rnacentral:rRNA from 1 species
AGAGCGAACGCUGGCGGCAUGCUUAACACAUGCAAGUCGCACGGGCAGGGGAAACCCUGUCAGUGGCGGACGGGUGAGUAACGCGUAGGAAUCUAUCUCUGGGUGGGGGACAACCGUGGGAAACUACGGCUAAUACCGCAUGACACCUGAGGGUCAAAGGCGCAAGUCGCCUGGAGAGGAGCCUGCGUACGAUUAGCUUGUUGGUGGGGUAAAGGCCUACCAAGGCGACGAUCGUUAGCUGGUCUGAGAGGAUGAUCAGCCACAUUGGGACUGAGACACGGCCCAAACUCCUACGGGAGGCAGCAGUGGGGAAUAUUGGACAAUGGGCGAAAGCCUGAUCCAGCAAUGCCGCGUGUGUGAAGAAGGUCUUCGGAUUGUAAAGCACUUUCGACAGGGACGAUGAUGACGGUACCUGUAGAAGAACGCCCGGCUAACUUCGUGCCAGCAGCCGC